AUGGCUUCCAGCUCCAACAACUCCCCAUCAUUCAAGAUCAUACUCGGGUCGUCGUCUCCGGCACGCCGCGCGAUCUUGUCGAAUAUGGGAUACCAGUUCACCACCAAGAGCGCUGACAUCGACGAGAGGGCCAUCAGGAGGGAGAAGCCGGAGGAGCUGGUCAAGGCCUUAGCCAAAGCCAAGGCCGACGCCAUUAAACUGAAUCUUGUUGAGGGCUGCGGUGAUGGGGACUUCAGAGAUCGGCCUACCCUUCUGAUCACUUCAGACCAGGGGGCGAUCAGGGAGAGGCCGAGGAGCACGGAAGAAGCCAGAGAAUUCAUCAGGGGGUACUCGGGUGAUCGAGCGUUUGCGGUGAACUAUGUUCUGGUGACCAACCUGAGCACCGGAGGCACAAAGGGGGGCUGGGAUAUACCCGAGAUCUGUUUCCACCACAUACCGCACGAGUUCAUCGAGGAAAUCGUGAAGGAGCGAGACAUGACCUGCGUGGCCGGGGCGCUCAAGCUGACGCAUCCAUCGGUGCUGCCCUUCAUCAAGGAACUAGUGAGCAGAUUCACCUAUAUUCAGCCUACAGCUCCUGCUUUGAAAACAGUGGACAGACUGCAAGCAAAUCAAUUAAACCGUUCUGAUUCCGUUUGCCAUUUUGAUGUGUACGUCCCCUUGUUUGCGCAGGUCGGUACGGCGGACAGUGUCCGAGGGCUUCCGAGGGAGCUCACGGAGAAGCUUAUUCGAGAAUCGCUGGAAGCG
rnacentral:rRNA from 1 species